ACCUGCCAGAGUGGGUGCCCGCGGGGAUCCUUGCCCUUCCCUGCUGUCCCUGCCGCUGCUGGCCUCUGUCUGGAGGGAGGGACUGGCCGGGUGUCCGGCCUGGGUUGCCCCAGAGGAAUCUGAGACAGCCUAAACUGUGGCCCCGCCUCCCUCUUCUGUGCCAGCAGGACUUGGAGCUAGGACACCUAGGUCCUGGGUCCCCUCUGAUAGGGAAGGGGUGUUCCACCGUGGGCAGACAGUAGGGUCUGAGGCUCUAGGGUUCCAGCUUCACUUUGUGAAUCUCAAGGUGCAUCUGGCCUUGAGGGGACUACGAUGAAGGCAGACAGACAGCCGCUCCUUUUUGGAUCAGUCAAGAAAUUGAGGUCACACCAAUGGCCCCUCUUUCUAUCUGAGCUGCCUGUGGCGGUGGUGGGGGGGGGAGCAGCCCUGUAGCUGAAUGUGACAAGACUCAGGGGAAACCUCAGGCCCCUUCAACUGAGCCCCUGUGCGAGCCCCGCCCCUCCCUAAAUGCCAGACUAGGAGCUGACAGGCGGCGCUGCGUGCGCUGGGUUUCAAAGGUGACGGGGAACUUUGUUAUUGCAGGGGUUGCUGCCACUUUCUUCACAUCCUUAACAGACUUCAGCAGAAGGGAUUGAGUUAGCUCUCAAGGAAGACUACCUGGCCAUAGGGGCUUAUUUGUAUGGCAUGUGGAGCAGGCGAGCUGGGAGCAUAGGACAGACUCCUGUCCAUGUGAUUUGAAGGAGGUGGCAAGAAAGACCUCCGUCUGUGUGGGCUGUUUCUUUCUGGACUUCUCUUAUCUACGCCCUAGUCGUUCUUGAGAGUCUCAGAGCUGGGGAAGAAAAGAGGAAGCCCUGUUCAGCUGAGUGUGGAAAUAGAGGGAUUUCUGCUGCCAUCAUCUUCCAUGGGCUUUCCAGGUCCCACAGCCUACAAGUAGGGAGCAGGGAAAGA